rnacentral:rRNA from 1 species
GUAGGGAAUAUUGGGCAAUGGAGGCAACUCUGACCCAGCCAUGCCGCGUGCAGGAUGACGGCCCUCUGGGUUGUAAACUGCUUUUAUACGGGAAGAAAAAAUACUACGUGUAGUAUACUGACGGUACCGUAAGAAUAAGGAUCGGCUAACUCCGUGCCAGCAGCCGCGGUAAUACGGAGGAUCCAAGCGUUGUCCGGACUUAUUGGGUUUAAAGGGUGCGUAGGCGGAUCUUUAAGUCAGUGGUGAAAGCCUGCAGCUUAACUGGAGAAUUUGCAUUGAAACUGAAGAUUUUGAAUGUGGUUAAAGUAGGCGGAAUGUAUCAUGUAGCGGUGAAAUGCUUAGAUAUGAUACAGAACACCGAUAGCGAAGGCAGCUUGCUGAACCAUUAUUGACGCUGAGGCACGAAAGCGUGGGGAGCGAACAGGAUUAGAUACCCGAGUAGUCC